rnacentral:tRNA from 1 species
GUUUAUAUAGUUUAAUAAAAUAUUAUUUUUUCAUAAUAAAGUUAAUCAAUAGAUUUAUAAAUU